CCUACGGGAGGCAGCAGUAAGGAAUAUUGGACAAUGGGCGCAAGCCUGAUCCAGCCAUGCCGCGUGAAGGAUUAAGGCCCUCUGGGUUGUAAACUUCUUUUAUAGGGGACGAAAAAAGGGCUUUCUAGCUCGACUGACGGUACCCUAUGAAUAAGCACCGGCUAACUCCGUGCCAGCAGCCGCGGUAAUACGGAGGGUGCAAGCGUUAUCCGGAUUCACUGGGUUUAAAGGGUGCGUAGGCGGGCAGUUAAGUCAGUGGUGAAAUCUCUGGGCUCAACCCGGAAACUGCCAUUGAUACUAUCUGUCUUGAAUAUUGUGGAGGUGAGCGGAAUAUGUCAUGUAGCGGUGAAGUGCUUAGAUAUGACAUAGAACACCGAUUGCGUAGGCAGCUCGCUACACAUAUAUUGACGCUGAGGCACGAAAGCGUGGGGAUCAAACAGGAUUAGAUACCCUGGUAGUCCACGCCCUAAACUAUGAUUACUCGACAUUUGCGAUACACAGUAAGUGUCUGAGNGAAGANAUAAUAAUACACCAGGAGACGACCGACGAGUAGUAACGUACGAAGAAGUAGACGGACGUGAGAGNGCGACGGACGACGACGAGGGAGGAGG
rnacentral:rRNA from 1 species